rnacentral:rRNA from 1 species
UUUCCCUUGGUUUACCGUCUUGUUGAGUUAGCAUUGAUUUUACCUGUUGCAACCGCAACAGUGGAAAGGGCAUUUUCAGCAAUGAGCAUUAUCAAGACUGGAUUGAGGAACAAAAUGGGUGAUGAUUGGAUGAAUCAUAGAAUGGUAUGUUACAUUGAGCGGGAUGUAUUUGUGAGUAUUGAAGAAUCAAAGAUCAUUGAGCGAUUUCAAGGUUAUCGCAGUCGCAAAUGCCUUUUGCCUCGUCCUGGACGUAAUUUUUCAAAUUUUGCAUCUAUUAUGAACUAUUUUUGCUUCCUUUAUUAUGCACUGAUUUGCAUUUCAAAAUUUAUCAUUCAAGGUUUAGCUUCUUCGACUAUUGAAGAUGUUGUUAUGGGAGGGUCAGAUCAACCAAUCCUUUGA